rnacentral:rRNA from 1 species
GUCCACGCGGUAAACGAUGGGCACUAGGUGUGGGGGGUAUCCACUCCUCCCGUGCCGAAGCUAACGCAUUAAGUGCCCCGCCUGGGGAGUACGGCCGCAAGGUUAAAACUCAAAGGAAUUGACGGGGGCCCGCACAAGCGGUGGAGCAUGUGGUUUAAUUCGACGCAACGCGAAGAACCUUACCUGGGCUUGACAUCCCUGGAACUCCCUGGAAACAGGGAGGUGCCCUCGAAAGAGGGAGCCAGGAGACAGGUGCUGCAUGGCUGUCGU